rnacentral:tRNA from 1 species
GGGCGAGUGGCGGAAUUGGUAGACGCACUGGAUUUAGGUUCCAGCGGUUAAUAGCCGUGAGAGUUCGAGUCUCUCCUUGCCCACCA